rnacentral:rRNA from 1 species
GAACGACUCUCGGCAACGGAUAUCUCGGCUCUCGCAUCGAUGAAGAACGUAGCGAAAUGCGAUACUUGGUGUGAAUUGCAGAAUCCCGUGAACCAUCGAGUCUUUGAACGCAAGUUGCGCCCCAAGCCAUUAGGCCGAGGGCACGCCUGCCUGGGUGUCAUGC